UACGUAGGGGGCGAGCGUUGUCCGGAUUUACUGGGCGUAAAGUGUGCGCAGGUGGCCGCGCAAGUCGAGUGUGAAAUCCCCGAGCUUAACUUGGGAAUUGCGCUCGAAACUACGUGGCUCGAGUGUGGCAGAGGAAGGUGGAAUUCCACGUGUAGCGGUGAAAUGCGUAGAGAUGUGGAGGAACACCGAUGGCGAAGGCAGCCUUCUGGGCCAACACUGACGCUCAUGCACGAAAGCGUGGGGAGCAAACAGG
rnacentral:rRNA from 1 species